rnacentral:rRNA from 1 species
UACGAAGGGGGCGAGCGUUGUUCGGAAUCACUGGGCGUAAAGGGCGCGUAGGCGGCCCUCCUAGUCGCGUGUGAAAUCCCCGGGCUCAACCUGGGAACUGCAUCCGAAACUGCCUUGCUAGAGUAUGGGAGAGGGAAGUGGAAUUUCCGGUGUAGCGGUGAAAUGCGUAGAUAUCGGAAGGAACAUCAGUGGCGAAGGCGACUUCCUGGACCAAUACUGACGCUCAGGUGCGAAAGCGUGGGGAGCAAACAGG